UGAGACCUUCCGAUGGCCGCGAUGCCAUGCCUGGUGCAUGGCGUUGAGGAACUUCCGGGCUCCGCAGAGCACGAUGGCGGAUAACGUCCGCCCAGGGCGACCUGAGAGACAGCGCAACAGAGAACAGACCGCCGGCCUGGCGCCGGUAAGGGUGAAACGGCGGUGCAAGAGACCACCGGGCCCCUGGUAACAGGUGGCCGCAUGGCAAGCCUCAUCGGGAGCAAGGCCAAGCAGUGGACGCUUGAGGGCUGCUCGUCCGAAGUCCACGGGUAGGCCGCUAGAGCCCAGCGGCAACGUUGGGUCGAGAUGGAUGGCCAUCCGCAUUCCCUUGUGGAAUGUGACAGAACCCGGGGUAUGGAAGGUCUCACUUC
rnacentral:RNase_P_RNA from 1 species